AAAGUGACCUGGAUCCAUAAACAACAACCAAAAAAUCUAAAAAAUGGAAAGUAAUCUAAAACAGAGUCCCAAGAACACUUCUCCUUCCAGAUUUGUCAUCAAUGUUCCUCCGAACUGACCCUAAAUUCGUCAUCUUGUUGUUGAACCAGUAUUGUUGAGCUUGAGUGAAUUCCAUCUCUACACUUAACAUCUCACAAGUGCCAUGGAAUCGACCUCCUUGAAGACUUCUUCAGCUCAAAAUGGGUUCAAACAACAAAUCUAGGAGCUUGGUAGCCAUGACCCAGCAAUCUUCAUCUAGAAUCAGCUGAGGCGAUAAAUACUCUUGAGUCUUUCCCUCUACGCAGAAUGAGCUCCGAAGAACUGAUACCACUGCGAAGAGAUCCAUUUUCAAGAGGUAUUUUCGACUCCACUUUCCCUUAGCUGUUAUGAGCAAUAGAUGUGUGAAUCAUAUUCUGUUGUUACUGUAACUCUUAUAGUUGCUUCUGCUUUUGAUUUCCGCCGACUUGUCACUUUAAUUCCUAAUUCCUUAUUUGUGUAUUGAAUCCCUUGUUUUGCAUCUUCUUAAUCCGUAUAUUUGGGAUUUUUCUUUGUUCCGUUAUAAAGCUCUCUCUAUCUCGCAUCUCUUUUCAUAUUCAUGGAUUGCAUCACUCUAUUUUUACCCUUCAAGAUUGUAUUGAACAAUGAGACUCCAUAGCAAAGACAAAUAAUUAACUCAUACAAGAUUGAAAAAAAAUUAUUGAUACAAUCUGAUACAAGUAACGAUUGGUUGAGAUUAUCUAGUUAUAAUUUUAGGAAUAUAUUAUCUAGUUCAUUAUAAAAAAUGAUAAAUUUGUGUCAAACUAAUGAUAAUGAUAAUGAGCGUCAUCAAUUAAGAUUUAGCAUAAUUUCAAAUUAACAAGCAUGUUUGUUUGUAUGAUUGUAUAUAUAUAUUUUUUUAUAGUUUUUAGAACUUAUAAAUAUCAGUCUUUUAUGUUUGUUUUUUUUUUAAAUUAAAACUUCAAUCCAAACUUCACCCAAAUUUAUUUUUUAAUUUUUUUUUAAAAUUAUCGUUAAACACUAGCUUACUAGCCUCACCUUUCUUCUUUUUCUUCAAACGAGUCAUGAUUUUACUAUCGACUUUGAAAGUUUUUAGAUUUGAUUAACGAGGAUUGGUGUGCUCUUCAUUAGAAUUUGAGCAAAGUAUGAAAAAUAGUGUAUAUCUACACUUCAGGUAAUUUGUGAUUGUAAGAAGCAAGCUUGUCCACAACCUUGUCCGCGACCUUAUUAGCUUCUCUAAAGCAAUGUCUGGUUAUAAUAUGAUUGGAAUCCGCCAAAAUGUUAAUCUUUUUCACAGGAUUCUCGAUUCUCCAAGGCAGAUUCCAGUUAUCUUUUGAUACAAUUUUGAGGGAGGGGUCUCGCCUAUGAUCAAAUUGUACCCAUUUUCGAUACACGAGUUGAUCCCAAACAAGGAGGAGGCAACUUCAGCAUAGUUGCUAGUACCUUACCCGAAUGGUAUUACUUGACUUGAAUACAAAUUAGUCUGGGUUCCAAAGUAAGCUAUUUGCAAUAUUGAUGAAUACAAUGUAUUGUUUUCCGUCAUUACAUACUGUCAUCAAUCUAUCAACAAUCUGAAGAAUAAGUCAAUACAAGGGCAUGAAAAAGAAAUGGUUUCUACAAUUUAUUGGAUAAAAAAGAAUAGAGUAUCCCAUUGAACUGCAACUAUUCUUAUAAUAUGAUCCAU
rnacentral:lncRNA from 1 species